UACGUAGGGGGCAAGCGUUAUCCGGAUUUACUGGGUGUAAAGGGAGCGUAGGUGGUAUGGCAAGUCAGAGGUGAAAACCCAGGGCUUAACCUUGGGAUUGCCUUUGAAACUGUCAGACUAGAGUGCAGGAGGGGUAAGUGGAAUUCCUAGUGUAGCGGUGAAAUGCGUAGAUAUUAGGAGGAACACCAGUGGCGAAGGCGGCUUACUGGACUGUAACUGACACUGAGGCUCGAAAGCGUGGGGAGCAAACAGG
rnacentral:rRNA from 2 species